rnacentral:rRNA from 1 species
GACAGAGGAUGCAACGUUGUUCGGAAUUACUGGGCGUAAAGCGCGUGUAGGCUGCUUCGCAAGUCGGAUGUGAAAGCCCUGGGCUCAACCCCAGGAAGUGCAAUUCGAAACUGCAGAGCUGGAGUCCUGGAGGGGAAGGCGGAAUUCUCGGUGUAGAGGUGAAAAUUCGUAGAUAUCGAGAGGAACACCGGUGGCAAAGGCGGCCUUCUGGACAGUGACUGACGCUGGAGACGCGAAAGCGUGGGGGAGCAAACAGG